rnacentral:lncRNA from 10 species
AGAUGGAGGCCCAUUGAGGCUUCUCUGUCCUCCACGGGGAACAGCAUUGGCCUAAACCUGCAGACACCAUUGCAAAGGGAAUUCAGGCAAACCGGCUGGUGAAGAAUGAUUCCAGCGUGGGGACAGAGGCUGACAUUUCUUGCGGAAACCCCCAUCAGCACCUCCCCCUGACUCACAAAGCAUCCCGUCAACAUCACAGUCCCGACUUUCCCACAUGGACAAGCCCACAGGACCCCCUGAUGGACCAGGACAGCGCCAGCACUAAGACAUGCCCUGGAACUCACAGGAAGAGCAGAUCAAGAAGACGGGAACAGCACAAGGCACUGGGAGCUGCAAACACCCACGAUACUGUCAGAGAUGGAGAAAGGUAUGACAGGAAGAGCAGAUCAAGAAGACAGGAACAGCACGAGGCACUGGGAGCUGCAAACGCCCGCGAUACUGUCAGAGAUGGAGAAAGGUAUGGCCAUGGCUGACACAAAAUGUUACUCAACAUUUAUCACAGGCCUAAAUGGAGAACAUGACGCUAUAAAACCCUUAGAUAAAAACACAGGAAAAUUUGUAUGGCCUGGGGUUGGGCGAAAAGUUCUUAGACAUGACACCAAAAGCAUGAUUCAUAAAAGAUUGACAAAUUAAACUUAAUCAUAAAUUUAAAAUUAUAAUUCUAUAAAGCAAUAUAAAAAUCUAAAGAGAAUGAAACACAAACUAUGGUCUAGAAAAAAGUAUUUGUGAAUCACACGUCUCACAACGUACUGGCACGCAGGAUAUGUGAAGAACCACCAAAACUUAACCAUAAGAAAGUAAAAACCCCAGUAUUAAAGAGAGGGCAGAUAUUUGAAUGGAGAAUCAAAGAAG